rnacentral:tRNA from 1 species
GUCCGGGUGGCGGAAUUGGCAGACGCGCUAGCUUGAGGUGCUAGUGCCCGCAAGGGCUUAGGGGUUCAAGUCCCCUUUCGGACACC